UUUUCCAGCACUUCCACAUGCCAGGAGUUCUAUAAAGUGGGAGCAUUUACAUGGAAAUAUACAGCAGGUUCAAGAUCUUUCAGGGCUGUGGCUGUAGAUCAAUAUUUGGGUGUAGCCCAAAAGGCUCAUGUUCAAUACUGUUUUCCUCCUGACAGGAAUUCUGCCUUCGCAACAAAUAGAGCAGGGGAGGAAAUCUCUCAAAGCACCAUUUGUGCUCCACUGGCAGUGGCUGAAGACAAUUCCCAGAGACAUCUCUCUGUUAUAAGGCAGGCUGUAGACUGACAGAGCUGAGGAACUCUACAUCUGCAGUAAGACCUGUACAGUACUGCAGUUUUGAGAAUUACUGGGAUUUUGUUGACUGCAGCACCUGGAACUGGCUGUGGAAGAACAAGCAAGGUUAUUUGGCUACUUUGUGACUUGCAUUAACAGAGCACAGACCAUCAUGUGAAGGACUGUAUAAAAUAUAAUACAAAAUAAAAUAUGCUUGAAAAACA